UUUAUCUUUUUUGUUGUGAAACUUUUUUUUUUUUUUUGACAGGGUCUCACUUUGUUACCGAGAGCGAGACGUGAGACUCCAGCUCAAAAAAAAAAAAAAAUUUAUUUGCCUGCAAAUGGAUUUACUUUACUCUCGUUCUUGAAGGACUUUUUCCCCCUUAGGUGUGUAGGAUUUUAGGUUGACAGUAUUUUGUCCCUGCACUUUGCAAACAUCGUUCUUUCUGUCUCUGGGCCCGGGCGGCCGCAGGGUCUGCACGCGGGCCUUGGUUUUUGGUGCUUGUGCUCCGAUGGGCCGACAUGUAUCCUCAGCCUGUUCAGAGUUUGGGGCCUCUUGGAUCUGUGGCUUGAGGCCUUCAUCAUGUUUCUUCCAGUGUUGUUUCUGCCCCGUU
rnacentral:sRNA from 1 species